rnacentral:rRNA from 1 species
UUUUAUGGAGAGUUUGAUCCUGGCUCAGGACGAACGCUGGCGGCGUGCCUAAUACAUGCAAGUCGAGCGAACAGAUGAGGAGCUUGCUCCUUUGACGUUAGCGGCGGACGGGUGAGUAACACGUGGGCAACCUACCUUAUAGUUUGGGAUAACUCCGGGAAACCGGGGCUAAUACCGAAUAAUCUAUUUUACUUCAUGGUGAAAUACUGAAAGACGGUCUCGGCUGUCGCUAUAAGAUGGGCCCGCGGCGCAUUAGCUAGUUGGUGAGGUAACGGCUCACCAAG